rnacentral:rRNA from 1 species
CAAACUGGAGAUGGCGACCGGCGCACGGGUGAGUAACACGUAUCCAACCUGCCGAUAACUCGGGGAUAGCCUUUCGAAAGAAAGAUUAAUACCCGAUGGCAUAGUUCUUCCGCAUGGUAGAACUAUUAAAGAAUUUCGGUCAUCGAUGGGGAUGCGUUCCAUUAGGUUGUUGGCGGGGUAACGGCCCACCAAGCCUUCGAUGGAUAGGGGUUCUGAGAGGAAGGUCCCCCACAUUGGAACUGAGACACGGUCCAAACUCCUACGGGAGGCAGCAUG